UACGUAGGGUGCGAGCGUUAAUCGGAAUUACUGGGCGUAAAGCGUGCGCAGGCGGUGAUGUAAGACAGGUGUGAAAUCCCCGGGCUUAACCUAGGAACUGCAUUUGUGACUGCAUCGCUGGAGUGCGGCAGAGGGGGAUGGAAUUCCGCGUGUAGCAGUGAAAUGCGUAGAUAUGCGGAGGAACACCGAUGGCGAAGGCAAUCCCCUGGGCCUGCACUGACGCUCAUGCACGAAAGCGUGGGGAGCAAACAGG
rnacentral:rRNA from 1 species